GUGCCAGCCGCCGCGGUAACACGUAGGGGGCAAGCGUUGUCCGGAUUUAUUGGGCGUAAAGAGCGUGUAGGCGGCCAGGUAGGUCAGCUGUGAAAACUCGAGGCUCAACCUCGAGAUGUCGGCUGAAACCAUCUGGCUAGAGUCCGGAAGAGGAGAAUGGAAUUCCCGGUGUAGCGGUGAAAUGCGCAGAUAUCGGGAAGAACACCCGUGGCGAAGGCGGUUCUCUGGGACGGUACUGACGCUGAGACGCGAAAGCGUGGGGAGCGAACGGGAUUAGAUACCCUGGUAGUCCACGCCGUAAACGAUGGGAACUAGGUGUGGGCGGUGUCGACUCCGUCCGUGCCGAAGCUAACGCAUUAAGCAUUCCGCCUGGGGAGUACGGUCGCAAGGCUGAA
rnacentral:rRNA from 1 species